UGGUUCCGGCAUCGAUGAAGAACGCAGCGAAAUGCGAUAAUUAAUGUGAAUUGCAGAAUUCAGUGAAUCAUCGAGUCUUUGAACGCACAUUGCGCCCCCUGGUAUUCCGGGGGGCAUGCCUGUCCGAGCGUCAUUGCUGCCCUCAAGCACGGCUUGUGUGUUGGGCCCCGCCCCCCCGGGGGCGGGCCCGAAAGGCAGCGGCGGCACCGCGUCCGGUCCUCGAGCGUAUGGGGCUUUGUCACCCGCUCUGUAGGCCCGGCCGGCGCCUGCCGACACCCUCAAUCUUCUUCAGGUUGACCUCGGAUCAGGUAGGGAUACCCGCUGA
rnacentral:misc_RNA from 1 species